rnacentral:misc_RNA from 1 species
AUUUUUGAGAACUUUGCCUUCGGUAAAGUGACGGGGAAUAGCGGCGUACGAGACGUGAGGCUCCAUGACGCCUGGUCAUUCAUCAUGAGGAAAGGAGAUACCAGUACUUCCCAGGAGCUCUUAUUGAAGGACGACAAGAAAAUACUAGCGCGGACCGCUGAGCUUUACCACUAUGACAACGGCAUCAAGUUCACUGCUCGCAGCUGGGUUCACACCAUUCGGCGAGGUGCUUGCUAUUCCCGCGCAAAGAGCGCUAAAGCGGAAAUUGCCGAUCCUAAACUUGCUUUGACUGAUGACGUUAGUUCCUGGAAAGUGGACGAUGAAGUUGUUCUUCUGUCCACGGACUACGACCCUAAACAGGCUGAAGUGACCACCGUCAAACAAUGUGACGAUUGCAGCGCCAACGAAGUCAGGAUCAAUCUGGAACCAUUAUUCACUCACUUUGGAGAAAUAGUAAACGGCGUGGACAUGCGCGGUGAAGUUGCACUGCUUAGUAGAAACAUAAAAAUCCGAGGGGCUCCGGCAACAAACAGUAAGACACUCGGAGGCCAUAUCAAGGUUAUGAGGGGUUUCAAGGAGGCACAGGUGGAAAAUGCAGAACUCGUGAACUUGGGACAAUUAGACACACUAGGAAACUAUCCAUUCCACUGGCAUAUGUGUGGUGACGUCACAAACUCGUACAUCCGGGGUAGCAGUAUUAGGGACUCCAAUGCUCGAUGCGUCACGGUUCAUGCAACUAACGGAGCUGUCGUGGAAAACAAUGUCUGUUUCCGAGCGGUCGGUCACGGAUUUUUCCUGGAGGAGGGAGGAGAGGUGGACACGACAUUUGCCGGAAAUCUGGGAGCCGGAAACAUCCGGACCAACAAACUCACCAAAACCGACGGAAUGCCUUCCACAUUUUGGAUUACAAAUCCUAAAACCAUCAUGCGGAAUAACGUUGCAGCAGGAAGUGACUAUGCCGGGAUCUGGUAUGUAUUCCCGGAUGAGCCUAUUGGAGCUUCCUACGGAAUUGUGAAAACCAUGCAGAAAGACGAAGCAAAGCGGACUCCGAUCACAGAGUUCACCAACAACGUCGUGCAUUCUAACCGCGUGGGCGGGAUAUUCUUUGACCGGCGCUUGAGGAACGACACUGGAUUCGCUUUUGGAACCAAAUACACCCCGCUCAGUGACCCCCAGGACGAGACCUCUGCCCCACAGACCGCUGUAUUCAACAGGCUUACAGCGUACAAGAACGAGCAGUUCAAUGGCUGGUUUGACGCUUCAAACAUUCAGAUCACACAAUCAUCAUUCUCCGAUAGUUUAGUUUCUCUGGCAGUAAGAAGAAGCAGCGAUGGACUGGAGUGCACGGUCACGAACAGUGUCUUCAUGGGGGAGUCCUCAAACAUUGGGGAACCCUCGGUCAUCAGGGGGAACGGUGUCGUCAAAACCUACCCCCGUGCCGUGCCCCUCAAGAUGGCGAACCAGCCCCGUCAAGGUUUCGUCUUUUACGAUCGGGAAGUCUCCCUGUCCGACUCAUGGUUCGGUGACUACGCUAGCACCGACGAUUACAGCGCAGGCGCACUAGGAUUCCAACGAAACAACCAGCACCUUGCCACCCACGGAGCUUUUACCAAGAACCUGUUGUUCGGCUUUGGCGAUGCUUCACAGGGUAACCGCGUGUUUGAUGGAAACGCUACUGACGUCGGCUUUACGUCACUAGAUGGUGACGACAUCGUAUUGUUUGAAGAUCUUGACGGGUCUGUGACAGGAAGUGCCGGCAACUUUGUGGUCAAGCCACUUCCGAUCCACAUGACUGAACAGUGUGAGGAGAUCGACAACUGGAAGAUGGCCGUCUGCCCGCAUCCAUUUGGACAGGUUCGUAGCAAUUUUGCCGGUAAAAAUUCUGACCAAAUCAUCGUCACGCGUGAUGACGACAGCGAUGACCCAAUUAUGGCAGACAGGCGAUCCUUCGCCCCAUUCCUGACCAUUCUCGGCGGCACCCACAGUUAUCUGGUCCGCAGCAACGCCGCCACGGCACCUGGGUGGUUUCGAUUUGAGUUCUUGGGACUCACUUUAUCUAAAUAUGCUUCCCUAGCUGUCUGUAUUCCCCGACAGUCUACCCUUAAAAUGGCUAUGAAGGAUCUGGUGACUGAUAAGUGGGAACGAGGAGUGGCGGCCAACUCGUACGAUGAAUUCACAUCAAGCCUUUCUCGAACGAGCUACUUUGUUGACCAGGAAGUCGGCGUUGUUUUCUUCAAUGCCAUGCAUAUACGUGAACGAGUUGAAUCAGACAGAGGAAAUUGUCUGGACGGCAAGUGUCCGUUUGUCGGUUUUAGCAACUCGGGCGGCGAUAGAGCGGACACCGACUGCAGUGAGCGGUUCUACGCAAAAUACAGCAAGUCACCCGUUCUGCCCUCCCGGAAGAAGAGAGCAGUAGGAGUGACUUCCGCCGACAAAUUCCCUGCCUCCAGAGCCACCCCUCCACAGGCCUGGGGAGCUGGAGACACCAAAUCUACCGUUUCUAUUCAACUUGGAGUGUGAAAGAAGAACUGUUUAUUUUUUUUAAUAAAUGAAUUACAC